GGAAGAGCAAGUAGCAAUGAAAAGGCUGACGCUGCCCAGCAGGAAUACGGCAGCAUGUGGUUGUGAGUCCAAACUGCCUACUGGUUGGAAGGAAAUGGGGGCGGGGAAUCCUAAUCCUAACGGGAAAAGGCAGACGCGCCCUCUCCUGGCAUCUCGGAAGAAUUCUGUUUCACUUUCUAGACCGCCAGCUCGUCAGGCUCCGCCUGCCGGAUCUUUGACAUCAAUCACCCUUGAGUUAACCUCCAGAACUGGGCAGAGGGGUAGCGUGUCAGUGCCCGCCCCCACACGUAAUUCCCGAGUGUCCCUCCUGCGUCUGUUAGGGGUGCCUGGGGUGAGUCACACUCCCUUUGGGUUUCUUUCUACUAUUUUAAACCAUAUUAAGCUCCUACAGAGCCCACAGGGGGGUGUAGCCACAGGUGCUCUGCUAUGUGACUGGCUCCCUGCUCCUCUUCUCCACUGGUGCCAGACCAUACUUGCUCCAACAUGGCCAUCUAAGAAGCGCAGGGCUGCCUGGAGUCCUGGUGAUCCCACUUCCGGGGAUGCCCAAAGCCCUCCCUUGCCCAAGACAGCCUCUCUCCUGGCCUUUUCCUCCUGAGUCCCUGUCCUGCAGGGGAGGGACCUGCACGGAAGAGUUGCCUUCAAAGACUGCCCUUGCUGGGUGGCAAGCAAUCAUGAAUUAAAUUCCCCCGGCUGAAGAUUUAGGGGCCACAGGGAGAAGACUUGGGAGCCAGGGAGAGGUGAGGCCCAGGCUUGAACCCUUGUCUCCUGCAGCUUUAUCCUCUCUUCUCCUUACCUUUCCUUCCAGAAUUCCCUGAGUUUUCCCUUCAACGCAUAGAAGAAUUUAGCUGUGUGCCAAGGCUCAGACUUGUAGAAAUAAGAUGCUUAAGGAAAAGAGGCUUCUGUUUUAAGGCAGUUCUGCUUAUAAAUUUAUUAUAAAUAUAUCAUACAUAUAAUACCUAUGAUAUAAGUACCAUGGGAUGCACAUUACAUGCAUGAUUAUAUGUAUGAUGUAACACACAUAUAAAAAUAUAAAAGUAUUUAUAAAUGAUCAUCCUCUUUUUUCUUCGUACUGCAUUGGGAACACUUAAUGGUAGUUCAGAGAUAAAAGGAGCUGGUGAGUUUAGAGAGAAAGAGACUGUUGAGCCUGUAUCUCCCUCAGACUGACGCACGGACGUGUGAGAAGCUGGGUGGAAUUUACUGCAUUUAUUUCUCAGGUGUAGGGUGUUCAGAAGCUGUAAAUAGGAAUUAUGUAAAUCGUGCAGCUUUAGGAAAAUCAGGACAGCAUGGCUUUUCGAAUCUUUUAUGAAGGCUUUCCUGAGAUUACCAUUAAGUCAUAAGCAACAUGAGAGAGAGCGAGCGAGACAGAUCGGCAAAAGUUUAUUGGCCCGCUCUGGGUUUCCCAAUUCACCGCUGCGAAGCAAAAGUCAGAUUUGAUCUCGACACGCGUUGACUCUAAAAGAACGACCCAGAAAAUGUCAACACGUCUACACGGUACUCACGCAAAGGAACAGCGAUUGUUGGUUUGGAACAGGCUUUCCGCCUGGAGAGCUCCGACACAGCGCAUCGUGGGGCGCGGGAGGAGGGC
ensembl:lncRNA